rnacentral:rRNA from 1 species
AGCGAACGCUGGCGGCAGGCUUAACACAUGCAAGUCGAGCGCCCCGCAAGGGGAGCGGCAGACGGGAGAGUAACACGUGGGAACAUACCUUUUGGUUCGGAACAACUGAGGGGAACUUCAGCUAAUACCGGAUAAGCCCUUACGGGGAAAGAUUUAUCGCCGAAAGAUUGGCCCGCGUCUGAUUAGCUAGUUGGUGAGGUAACGGCUCACCAAGGCGACGAUCAGUAGCUGGUCUGAGAGGAUGAUCAGCCUCACUGGGACUGAGACACGGCCCAGACUCCUACGGGAGGCAGCAGUGGGGAAUAUUGGACAAUGGGGGCAACCCUGAUCCAGCCAUGCCGCGUGAGUGAUGAAGGCCUUAGGGUUGUAAAGCUCUUUUGCCCGGGAAGAUAAUGACGGUACCGGGAGAAUAAGCCCCGGCUAACUUCGUG